rnacentral:snRNA from 1 species
CUAUUUACCUGGCAAGGGUGAUUCCAUGAUUACGAAGGUGGUUUCCCCAGAGUGAGGCUUACCCAUUGCACUUCGGAUGAGCUGACCCCUGCGAUUUCCCCAAAUGUGGGAAACUCGACUGUAUAGUUUUUGGUAGUGGGGGACUGCGUUCGCGCUCUUCUGUG